GAGGAUGCUGGUGUUACCUGUGCAGGUUCAUCGCUGCUUAAGGCCACUACAGAGUUUCCAUCAACAUCCACAACAACGAAAAAAGUUCCUCCUCCAGUUGUACCCCUUUCCAUUCCUUUUGUGGUCUUCCUGGUACUGGGAGCUCUUCUCUUCCUGCUGCUGGUGAUAACGGCUGUCCAGUUGUACCAGAACAGAGUGCUGAAGAGAGCUCUGUACCAGGAGGGUCUCACCCCUCUGCACGAGGCCAUUUAUGAGGAGAUAGAGUACAAUCUGACCAGGGGGGAGACCUACAGAGCCCCUCGCAAGGGUGAGUUCAUCUCCUCGACCUCCGCAGAAACAGAAAAAUAA